CAGGGUGGCCUGCUCGCAGCUCUGUCUCAGAGCGCAGGAGACCGAGGCGCACUGAGGUUAAGGGACGCCUGAGUUCCUGGCGCUCAGACCUCAACCCACCGGCUCCCCCAGCCCACCACGCCGUCCUGCCCCCACAAGGCCUCGGACAGUUCCUAGCACAUGUAUGGAGCUCAGACUGAAAGGAUUGGCCAGUGGAAGAAACGAGGCCUUGCUUUGCAGAGAGGGCACAGUCCCCGAAGUGCUGGCUACCCACUGCCCCAGCGCCAGCGGUGAAGCCGUCUCUCCCCGGGCUGGCUGCCUCCUCCUUCCUCCCGUCCCGGUACCUUCACCUGACUGCACAUUGGUUCAUCAUCUUCAGUCUCCCUCAUCAUCUUCGGUCUCCCCCGAUCUGAAUGUCAAGGUCAGCUCCUUGAGGGAAGGAACUUGCUCUUACUUCCUGCCGCGUCCCCAGCACUGGUUUGGGCGCCUGAAUGUGAGCCUCACAAAGGCUGGGACUCUGCUUUGCUGUCCACUGUCUCCUGGUGCAAAGAAGAAUGCUUGGCAAGA